CGCCCAUUAAACUAUUGUAAUAGUUUUAAGAUUAAUCAGUAUAAAAUCUGAGGUUUUCUUAAAUAUUUUUACUAUGAAAACAAAGGCAAUCGUACUCAUGCUGUGUCUCCAUUCCGUCUUCACCAAAAUCUGGAAAUCAACUAAUAGGGAUGUACCGAGGGUCCAUAGACAAGAAUUGUCAUACGUUACGUUACCUGACAAGGACUUCUGUCAAUUUAUGAGAAAAAGCGGGGGAGACUUUCUGGUGCUGCCAUGGUGGCAAUACUACUGCGAUGAAGAACAUGACCAAGAAAUAGGAAAGAAGAAUGUCUACCUUCCGAUGUAUAAUUCAAUUGUGGAACGAAUUCAAUGGUAUCGCCGCCAUGGGAUUUUCAAACCUGCCGAUACUGAACUAAAGGAAACUAAAAGCAAAUUCCUAUAAUUUUUUUUCUUAUGACAUAACUCAAAUAAGAAAGCAAUAUUCUUGU